AUCAUUAGUGAGAGACAUGAGUCUCGUGGACCACCGUAGACAUCUCUUGUUCUCCUAGAAGGCGACCGUCUGCGGUAAGUGAGAAAUAAACCACUUAUACAACAGAGGCAAACAGCACACAAUGGCCCCACCACCCUUUUCAUUCCUCAUAUGCAAAGAGAAAUAAGUAUCACCCAACAGAGUCAGAACGGGAUUAAGAGUAGAGAAAAUCCUAAUAGCAUUCACAUUCACAAACUUGUCGAUGUUGG
rnacentral:lncRNA from 1 species